AGCAGCCGCGGUAAUUCCAGCUCCAAUAGCGUAUAUUAAAGUUGUUGCAGUUAAAAAGCUCGUAGUUGAAUUUCGGGAUCAAUAUGUUGGUCGUGCCUCGGUACGUACUAGCUUAUUGGUUUCUCCUUUCUGAAGAACCAUGAUGUCAUUUAUUUGGUGUCGUGGGGAAUCAGGACUGUUACUUUGAAAAAAUUAGAGUGUUUAAAGCAGGCUCACGCUUGAAUACAUUAGCAUGGAAUAAUGAAAUAGGACGUUUGAUUCUAUUUUGUUGGUUUCUAGGAUCGACGUAAUGAUUAAUAGGGGUAGUUGGGGGCAUUAGUAUUCAAUUGUCAGAGGUGAAAUUCUUGGAUUUAUUGAAGACUAACUACUGCGAAAGCAUUUGCCAAGGAUGUUUUCAUUAAUCAAGAACGAAAAGUUAGGGGGAUCGAAGACGAUCAGAUACCGUCGUAGUCUUAACCAUAAAACUAUGCCGACUAGGGAUCGGAUGAUGUU
rnacentral:misc_RNA from 1 species